rnacentral:rRNA from 1 species
UUUAUGAGAGUUUGAUCCUGGCUCAGGACGAACGCUGGCGGCGUGCCUAAUACAUGCAAGUAGAACGCUGAAGUCUGGUGCUUGCACUAGACGGAUGAGUUGCGAACGGGUGAGUAACGCGUAGGUAACCUGCCUCAUAGCGGGGGAUAACUAUUGGAAACGAUAGCUAAUACCGCAUAACAGUAUUUACCGCAUGGUAGAUAUUUGAAAGGAGCAAUUGCUUCACUAUGAGAUGGACCUGCGUUGUAUUAGCUAGUUGGUGAGGUAACGGCUCACCAAGGCUUCGAUACAUAGCCGACCUGAGAGGGUGAUCGGCCACACUGGGACUGAGACACGGCCCAGACUCCUACGGGAGGCAGCAGUAGGGAAUCUUCGGCAAUGGGGGCAACCCUGACCGAGCAACGCCGCGUGAGUGAAGAAGGUUUUCGGAUCGUAAAGCUCUGUUGUAAGAGAAGAACUGUGAGAAGAGUGGAAAGUUUCUCACUUGACGGUAUCUUACCAGAAAGGGACGGCUAACUACGUGCCAGCAGCCGCGGUAAUACGUAGGUCCCGAGCGUUGUCCGGAUUUAUUGGGCGUAAAGCGAGCGCAGGCGGUUUGAUAAGUCUGAAGUAAAAGGCUGUGGCUUAACCAUAGUACGCUUUGGAAACUGUCAAACUUGAGUGCAGAAGGGGAGAGUGGAAUUCCAUGUGUAGCGGUGAAAUGCGUAGAUAUAUGGAGGAACACCGGUGGCGAAAGCGGCUCUCUGGUCUGUAACUGACGCUGAGGCUCGAAAGCGUGGGGAGCGAACAGGAUUAGAU